UUGUGCUCUUUCUCGAAAUAAUUUGAUCUGUAUUCAAGUCUACUACAUGCACGUGAAUGACAAUACUACUACGAUUCUCCACAAUAAAAAUUUUGACGUAAAGAGACUAAAAUAAAAUAAUGUAAAUUGAUGGAGCACUUUUUGAACAUGUAGAACUAGAGACACAAUGACAAUGUGCUCAAUCCCCUAAACCCCCUUUUACCAAAUUCUCACAUGAGAUUAACGUCUCAAAGACCGCUUUCCCAUACAAAUUUUGUUAUUAU
rnacentral:lncRNA from 1 species